rnacentral:rRNA from 1 species
GAUGAACGCUAGCGGCAGGCCUAAUACAUGCAAGUCGAACGGAUAUAUGUUUUCGGAAUAUAUAUUAGUGGCGCACGGGUGAGUAACACGUACAUAACUUGCCCGUCAAGCGGGGGAGUAGCCUUGGGAAACUGAGAGUAAUACCCCAUAGAAUUAUUGGACGGCAUCGUUUGAUAAUUAAAACUACGGUGCUUGGGGAUAGAUGUGCGUCUGAUUAGCUAGUUGGUGAGGUAACUGCUCACCAAGGCGACGGAUCAGUAGGGGGCGUGACGAGCGUGGCCCCCCACACGGGUACUGAGACACGGGACCCGACUCCUACGGGAGGCAGCAGUAAGGAAUAUUGGUCGAAUGGAGGGAACUCUGAACCCAGCCAUGCCGCGUGAA